UGUAAUGAUACAUGUAAGCUCUCUCUUGAGUGUAGAACAUCAAUGCAUUUCUUAACUUGGAUUCCUUGCCUUUUGAAAAUGAUCUUAACAGCAGGUCAUCUCUCUAUCAACGAUCUCUAUGUACUCUUGUAUGUUGACAAUGUUUCAACAACCUCGCAGGUACAAUGUACGAGGAAUCGCAAGGGCGUUUCGUGAAGGGUUAUGAGAAUAAACCCUGUUUAAAAUUUCAGCAUUUUUGUUUAACUUUUUCAUUCGAUGAGAAUAUCUUCCCAGUUUGAAAACUUUUAUUCAAGUUGACUCACAAUUUUAUUGAUAAUAUUGGUACAGUCAUUAAGAUAUUUAUGACACAUGUUGAAACCAAAAUAUAAGAGUGGGAUAGUUUUAUCGAGCAUAACCACUGAUUUGAGCAUAACUUUGUAGAAACUCGACUUCAUACAGAGGCCCAGUGUCAUGGAAUUACGUAAGUGAAGAGAGGGGGAGCUAAAGCAUCGAAAUGUUAGAAACACUGUUAGUAUCAACGAAAUAAGAUUGAUAAAAUAGUUUUCCCCAAAAGAAAGGAAAAUGUUUGAAUCAAAAUCCAUAUUCUAAAUACUUCUAAACUCAUUGAAAUAGGGAAAAUAAAUACCUCUGAUAAUCAAUUUAUUGAGAUACCUGCUUUUUUGAAUAGUAGGGCCCGCGUAUGUCUACAUUAGCUGGUUCAGAUAUCAAUGAAAAUAGGCUUCAUUUAAAGAUCAAUCUAGAUAUAUGUAUUCUUAUUGCAUGCUACCACCUUAUUUAUUAUUCACUAAUUCCUAUCAGUGAUGUCGAUGUAAAAAUUUCAUGAUCAUGGAACGAGAUAUAAACAUUCUUUACAGUUGGAUAAGGUGCAGCAGCUGUUUUAUAGGUUUUCAAUUGGUCAAUCACUUCUGAAUUAUUCAUUUAUAAAGCGAGGAUAUGCAUUGGUAUAAGGGCCUAAAUGUAGUUAUAAGCUUUCGUUGACAUUGAUGACAAGAAACUGUUGAUAAGAGCAAGUAUUAUUUGUUACAUUAUUUGACAAUUGGUUAAAAUUGGACGUUGAUCGCAAAGUAAUGCAAUAGUGAACCUCAGAGAACGGAUAGUUUGAACAUCUCAAUAUACAGUAGCUAACGCUCCCGGUUUACAGUUUAAAGAUUCGUACGACAAAGUCACAUUUUGCACGUUCUUAGAUACAAAUGGGAAAUGACCUAGCCAACAGUGUAUCAGAAAGGAAAACUGGCAUUCAUUACAGUGGUUCAAGUUCAGGAAAGCUAGACUAGAAUUUGAUGAUUUUGAUAGUAGAAUUUUAAGACCUUUUACUAUAGAUUCAUCAAACUAGUUAAAAUUUAAAAGAAGUUUGAGAAGCGAAAUGUGCCAGCAAAUUACUUAUGUCCGACACGCACUUACAACAUGGAAGGACAGGAGACGCAAUCCUAUGAUUACGUCACUGAAGAUUGCAACUAUGGAUUCGGUUACCCAAGAGAAAAGAAAUUAUCAAGGUUUGAGUACGUCUAUCUUACACCUCAUGUCUCUGAAUCUACAAGAUUCGAUGUAAAGCCAAACUCAUAUCUCCUAUCGCAAAAGAGACAAGAAAUUGAUAGAUUUAAAGAAAAGGCUACUGUCAAACAGCCAGGCGUGCACAAAGGUGUUACGCAGAAGGAACGUGUUCAUUUGAGAUCGAUUCAAGAAAGAACAGAAGCUGGUGACGUAAAUUUUGAAAGGAUAAGGCCAACUGACUCUGGGUAUCACUUCAAAACAAAGGAAGAAAUUAUUCAAAGGUUGCUUCAAAGAGACAGUUAUGAAUAAAGUAUUUCUUGACUGGCUUUGUUGUUUGUUCAAUGAAAACUGCUUCGCCAAGAAAUCUGUUCUUCUUUGCUCAAGAGUCUUCGAAGGCCGAAAAGAAAAGAAA